GACGUAGGGCGCGAGCGUUGUCCGGAUUUAUUGGGCGUAAAGAGCUCGUAGGCGGUGUGUCGCGUCGGUCGUGAAAACUUGGGGCUUAACCCUGAGCUUGCGGUCGAUACGGGCAUCACUGGAGUUCGGCAGGGGAGACUGGAAUUCCUGGUGUAGCGGUGAAAUGCGCAGAUAUCAGGAGGAACACCAAUUGCGAAGGCAGCUCGCUGGGACGUAACUGACGCUGAGACGCGAAAGCGUGGGGAGCAAACAGG
rnacentral:rRNA from 1 species